rnacentral:rRNA from 1 species
UACUGAGUUACCGCUCUACAACCCUUUGUGAACAUACCUAACCGUUGCUUCGGCGGGCAGGGGAAGCCUCUCGCGGGCCUCCCCUCCCGGCGCCGGCCCCACCACGGGGACGGGGCGCCCGCCGGAGGAAACCAAACUCUAUUUACACGACGUCUCUUCUGAGUGGCACAAGCAAAUAAUUAAAACUUUUAACAACGGAUCUCUUGGUUCUGGCAUCGAUGAARAACGCAGCGAAAUGCGAUAAGUAAUGUGAAUUGCARAAUUCAGUGAAUCAUCGAAUCUUUGAACGCACAUUGCGCUCGCCAGCAUUCUGGCGAGCAUGCCUGUUCGAGCGUCAUUUCAACCCUCAAGCACCGCUUGGUUUUGGGGCCCCACGGCAGACGUGGGCCCUUAAAGGUAGUGGCGGACCCUCCCGGAGCCUCCUUUGCGUAGUAACUAACGUCUCGCACUGGGAUCCGGAGGGACUCUUGCCGUAAAACCCCCAAAUUCUUUACAGGUUGACCUCGGAUCAGGUAGGAAUACCCGCUGAACUUAAGCAUAUCAAUAANGC